GACGUUCACUGCGCUUGCCUUGAUGUGCCGCUUCUGGUAGAAAUUAAGGCACGCGGUGAAUGCCAA
rnacentral:pre_miRNA from 1 species